rnacentral:rRNA from 1 species
UACGUAGGGUGCGAGCGUUGUCCAGAAUUACUGGGCGUAAAGAGCUCGUAGGCGGUCUGUCGCGUCGAUCGUGAAAACUUGGGGCUUAACCCUGAGCUUGCGGUCGAUACGGGCAUGACUGGAGUUCGGCAGGGGAGACUGGAAUUCCUGGUGUAGCGGUGAAAUGCGCAGAUAUCAGGAGGAACACCGGUGGCGAAGGCGGGUCUCUGGGCCGAUACUGACGCUGAGGAGCGAAAGCGUGGGGAGCGAACAGG